rnacentral:lncRNA from 1 species
GGGAUGCUGGCUGUGCAGAACAAGUGUUGUUCACCACCAGGAGGAAGAAGGGAAACAAGACCUGAGUAUCAGAUUGUACACUACUUCAGUGCGUAGGUGGCACAAACAAACACUAGAAGAAAAUAAUCAUCACCAGCCUGGGAAACAUGGCAAAAUCCCAUCUCUACAAAAAAAUAGCAAAACACACACACACACACAAACAAAUUAGCCAGGCAUGGCGGCAUGCACCUGUAAUCCCAGCUACCUGAGAGGCUGGGGUGGGAGGAUUCAUUGAGCCCAGGAGGUUGAGGUUGCAGUGAGCUGUGAUUGCACCACUGUGGUCCAGCCUAGGCGACAGAGUGGGACUAUGUUGAAAGAAAGAAAGAAAGAGAGAGAGGGAGAGAGAGAGAGA